rnacentral:lncRNA from 1 species
AGUAUGGUAUAAACCUCUCUUGAAUGAAUCUCAACAAUCUUAUCAUUAUCCCCUAACCCAAUAGAUGUAAUCAAUUCCAAUGAAUCUUCCAGUCCAUUUUCUUCAUAAACACCUAAAAUCCUCUCAUCAUCUUGCAAUGUACCUAACUUGCGUAAUUAUCCUUCAAUAUCAUAUAAUCUUUUUCUUUCUUUUCUUUUAAAAUCAUCAACUUUCUUAUACAUAAUAUUUCC